UACGUAGGGGCAAGCGUUGUCCGGAAUCAUUGGGCGUAAAGAGCGUGUAGGCGGUUCGGUAAGUCGGCUGUGAAAGUCCAGGGCUCAACCCUGGGAUGCCGGUCGAUACUGCCGGACUAGAGUUCGGAAGAGGCGAGUGGAAUUCCCGGUGUAGCGGGUGAAAUGCGCAGAUAUCGGGAGGAACACCUAUGGCGAAGGCAGCUCGCUGGGACGUUACUGACGCUGGAGACGCGAAAGCGUGGGGAGCAAACAGG
rnacentral:rRNA from 1 species